UACGGAGGGGGCAAGCGUUAUUCGGAAUUAUUGGGCGUAAAGGGCGCGUAGGCGGCUAGAUGUGUCAAAGGUGAAAUCCCUCGGCUCAACUGAGGAACUGCCUUUGAAACUGUCUGGCUUGAGGCCGGGAGAGGGUAGCGGAAUUCCCGGUGUAGCGGUGAAAUGCGCAGAUAUCGGGAGGAACACCUAUGGCGAAGGCAGCUUGCUGGGACGGUACUGACGCUGAGACGCGAAAGCGUGGGGAGCAAACAGG
rnacentral:rRNA from 1 species